rnacentral:rRNA from 1 species
GCGUGUAGCAGUGAAAUACGUAGAUAUGCGGAGGAACACCGAUGGCGAAGGCAGCCCCCUGGGAUAAUACUGACGCUCAUGCACGAAAGCGUGGGGAGCAAACAGGAUUAGAUACCCUGGUAGUCCACGCCCUAAACGAUGUCAACUAGCUGUUGGGGCCUUCGGGCCUUAGUAGCGCAGCUAACGCGUGAAGUUGACCGCCUGGGGAGUACGGUCGCAAGAUUAAAACUCGAAGGAAUUGACGGGGACCCGCACAAGCGGUGGAUGAUGUGGAUUAAUUCGAUGCAACGCGAAAAACCUUACCUACCCUUGACAUGUCUGGAAUCCCGAAGAGAUUUGGGAGUGCUCGCAAGAGAACUGGAACACAGGUGCUGCAUGGCUGUCGUCAGCU